AAACUUAAAUGAAUUGACGGGACCCGCACAAGCGGUGGAUGAUGUGGUUUAAUUCGAUGCAACGCGAAAACCUUACCCACCUUUGACAUGUACGGAACUUGCCAGAGAUGGCUUGGUGCUCGAAAGAGAGCCGUAACACAGGUGCUGCAUGGCUGUCGUCAGCUCGUGUCGUGAGAUGUUGGGUUAAGUCCCGCAACGAGCGCAACCCUUGCCAUUAGUUGCUACGAAAGGGCACUCUAAUGGGACUGCCGGUGACAAACCGGAGGAAGGUGGGGAUGACGUCAAGUCCUCAUGGCCCUUAUAGGUGGGGCUACACACGUCAUACAAUGGCCGGUACAAAGGGUAGCCAACCCGCAAGGGGGAGCCAAUCCCAUAAAGCCGGUCGUAGUCCGGAUCGCAGUCUGCAACUCGACUGCGUGAAGUCGGAAUCGCUAGUAAUCGUGGAUCAGCAUGUCACGGUGAAUACGUUCCCGGGGCUU
rnacentral:rRNA from 1 species